rnacentral:pre_miRNA from 1 species
UGCAUGGGGAGGAGGGAGGAGAUGGGCCAAGUUCCCUCUGCCUGGAACGCCCUCCCCCCCUUCUUCACCUGGCG